GUGGGGAAUAUUGGGCAAUGGGGGAAACCCUGACCCAGCAACGCCGCGUGAGGGAAGAAGGUUUUCGGAUUGUAAACCUCUGUCCUUGGUGACGAAGGAAGUGACGGUAGCCAAGGAGGAAGCCCCGGCUAACUACGUGCCAGCAGCCGCGGUAAUACGUAGGGGGCAAGCGUUGUCCGGAAUGACUGGGCGUAAAGGGCGUGUAGGCGGCCGAUUAAGUCUGGAGUGAAAGUCCUGCUUUCAAGGUGGGAAUUGCUUGGGAGACUGGUUGGCUUGAGUGCGGAAGAGGUAAGUGGAAUUCCCAGUGUAGCGGUGAAAUGCGUAGAGAUUGGGAGGAACACCAGUGGCGAAGGCGACUUACUGGGCCGUAACUGACGCUGAGGCGCGAAAGCGUGGGGAGCGAACAGGAUUAGAUACCCUGGUAGUCC
rnacentral:rRNA from 1 species